AUUUCAUUCUUUAGGGCUUUUGAUGCAUUGUGUCCUGUGUUUAUGAGUAUUUGUAAAUUUUCUUUCAUUACUUACAUGUUGUUACUUGAUAGUUUAUGUGGUCGGUACAAUCUCCAUACCAUGGCAUUCGCCACUUUCUUGCAUUCUUGAAUUCAGAAAACUGAAUCUGGGGAAUGUUGCUCUCUUAUUCUUCCUUUUUCUUGGUUCCCCUUUAAUUUACCCUUUUCCAAAUCCAUUAUAUAUCUGUUUCUAUAUAUUGUAAUCCCAAGAGAACGUUCUUGGUAUUAAUUAGUACACAUAGUCUACAUUACUACAUAAGCAUAUGAAUCAAUUUAGUUGAAAUCAGGUUCAACAAUCCAUGUAACGCGGAUCCAAGAAAAGUGGCAUGACGUAGAUUAACACUACUAUAAGAAAAGAAAAGAAAAGAAAAGAAAAAAAGAUUGAUACCAAGAAUUUGUUUUCAUACACUCUUAACAACAUUUUCCAACUUUCUUGCAUAUUCUUCAAAACUUAAUUUUGUUUCUAGCUUGAUUUUGGUGCAUUACUAUGUCUCAGCAGAAAGACCACAUAGGCUAUUGCAUGGGAAAUAGGGAAUGACCUACACACACUCUUUGAAUAUGUUUUUCCCAAUGAUUUCUUUGCCAAAUGGAUUAAUUGUAGCAUUCUUUCUCGCCUGUGGUCAAGGUGAGGAUUGACAUUUAUAGAUGCUACACUUACUACUGCCAAUUUCAUGAAAGAAGAGAUAUCAUAUUUACUUUUCUAGAGAAGCAAGGCGGCUUUGGAAUUGGUCGAAAAGCUAAAUCUGCUCCUUGUGGAAGUAGCUAUGCUUCUUGAGUUGUACGCUUCUAAAAAAAUGUUAGUAAUAACUGCAGUACAUCAGUGGGAUUUCUUAUGGUGGGUAGUGUUAUUGCUUACAAUUUCUAGAACCGAUCUUGUGCCAGGUAUUCAUGCUUGUAGUUGUCUUUAAUUAGUGAUUAGAAAAUCAAUUCAAUCUGCUUUCCUAACUGCAGUACCAUUAGACUUUAGUGCAGCAACAAAUGCUACAUCUGGUCAAACACAAAACGUAUCUUUGGGCUCCUCCACUUUACCUUGGAAAGAAAUAUGACUUUAUUAGUGUGGCCAAUGAACGUCUAGUGUGGUCCAGGGAUGUCAAUGUCUCAGAUUCCUCCAUACUUGGAUAUCCAAGAGCUCCUGCAUUUGUUGUUUCAAGCAACUCACACUUUGGCACCCCAAGACUUGAUUCAUACUCCUUUGGCCAACCAGAAGAAUCCAUGUUAGGGUGCAAAGGUUAACUUUAUUGUCCAUUUUCUCAUGUAUUGGAGCAGAUUAAUCAACGUUUUGAGGGAGAAUUUUUCUCUGUAAUCUAUAUGCUCUAUAUUGAUCUGAAAGCUUUUACUAAAUACCACUAGGAAAAGAAAGUACAGACCACCCUUUCUCAAGAGCUCUGGUUUUGGAAAGUCAGCAUUUGGCAUUAAUCAGAAAGGAAGUAGAAUAACAUCAUAUAUUGCAACUCUAGAGAACGAUAUCACAGGACCCGGUGGUGGAAAAAUUCAAUCCAUUUGUGGAAUAUAAUGCAGACUUAUAAAGAUAAAAGCCAGGAGGAGUUGAGGUUUAAGGACUACCAGUUAGGUGAUAAAGUUACCCAAGAGAUUAUGAGGAAAAGAGACAGAAGAUGUGUUAUUUGCAACAGAUGCAAAGGAAGGAAACAUAGAUUCAGUUACUUGACGAAAAAGAAAAGAGCAAUGAAGUGGAACAAACAAAAACAUGGAGGAGUUACGGAUAAAUUGUUGGAUUUUUCCUUAUGAUUGUAGUCUUUAUUGACAUAAUGGUAAGGUUACUUAAAUAGAGUAGUAGGUACCGGUGCUUUGAUUUGUCCUCAUAUUCUCUUAACUUUGAAAUGCUUUUUACGAUUCCUUUCUA